AGGGGAAUCCGACUGUCUAAUUAAAACAAAGCAUUGUGAUGGCUCUAACGGGUGUUGACACAAUGUGACUUCUGCCCAGUGCUCUUAAUGUCAAUGUGAAGAAAUUCAAGAAAGCGCGGGUAAACGGCGGGAGUAUACUAUGACUCCCGUAUGGUAUCCUAAAUGCCGAGGAAUAACCACCCAUAGAUGUCCAAUCACCCAGACCAAACUACUCAACCGAUCGACUUGACCUUGGUGUCAAAUGAAAGGUCAUAUUGUCUAGCUUCCGCGAACUUCUUUGGUUG
rnacentral:ncRNA from 1 species